GCGCUGCCCGCCCUUAGGAGUCUGCUCCGGGCGUUCCUCAGGGCGCUGCUCGGGGCGGUGCCCGCCCUCAGGAAUCUGCUCCGGGCGCUCCUCAGGGCACUGCUCGGGGCGGUGCCCGCCCUCAGGAGUCUGCUCCCGGCGCUCCUCAGGGUGCUGCCCGCCCUCAGGAAUCUGCUCCGGGUGCUCCUCAGGGCGCUGCUCGGGGCGGUGCCCGCCCUCAGGAAUCUGCUCCGGGCGCUCCUCAGGGCACUGCUCGGGGCGGUGCCCGCCCUCAGGAGUCUGCUCCCGGCGCUCCUCAGGGCGCUGCCGCUUCCUGCCCGCUGCCUUCCCAAUGUGCCCGAUAUUGUCACAUAUCUGCGGCUGGAAGCGUGGUAAGAGCCUCAGCCGCACUUGAGGGCCGUGCAUAUCUCAGAGGUGCGUCAGGGCUCGCUGACACCAACCAUCAUUAGAGGCAGCUGAAUCUGCCACAGAAACAUCAGGGGCAGGCCUUGGGUGCAGCAAAGGUAUGCCAGUCUGAAGAGGAAAGGCUCUAAAAAUUACAGGGAGAGUUGCCCCAGCAGGAAAAAUGAAGCAGAGGCAUCGCCCUGUCUUGGUGGGGUCCCUAUCUGGAGCAGCACAUCCUGACCUCUUGUCCUGCUGCAGGACAGGGUUUUUUCCUACUUGUGAAUUUGGGAUCGUAUUCUGAAUUGGAAGGGACCCAUAAGGAUCAUCGAGUUCGACUCCUGGCCCUGCACAGGACAACUCCAAGAAUUCCACCAUGUGCCUGAGAGUAUUGUCCAAACUCUAGCACACUUGGUGCUGUGACCACUACCCUAGAGAGCAUAUCUCAGCGCCCCACAAGCCUCUGGGGGAAGAAACUUUUGCUAACAUCCAAACCUUUGGAUGGUCUGGAUGUGGGAGGAAUGGGUGAGAACGCGAAGGAGAACUCACUUGCUCAACAGCAUCCCCUGUGUGAUUGGCACUUCCCCAGCUGAGACUGGCGAGGAUUAAUGAUGCAUGUUGAUAGCCCUCAGGCUGCUACCAUCUUCAGCUCCCUCAGCACAGCUUCUGGUUGCAGUAAAUCAAGGGAACUGUUCAGAAUCUGAGGGUUUGUCAGCUAAAAACUGGGCUCAGUAAUGCACCUGGUUAAAUAACCAUGUGGGUAGUU